UUCGAGGAUCUUCGGCAAUGGGCGCAAGCCUGACCGAGCGACGCCGCGUGCGCGAUGAAGGCCUCCGGGUUGUAAAGCGCUUUAGGGGGGGAGAAAAGCCCGCAAGGGUGUGAUCUAUCCCCAAAAUAAGCACGGGCUAAGUUCGUGCCAGCAGCCGCGGUAAGACGAACCGUGCGAACGUUGUUCGGAAUCACUGGGCUUAAAGGGCGCGUAGGCGGGCUGUCAAGUCUGGGGUGAAAUGCCGCGGCUCAACCGUGGAACUGCCUUAGAUACUGACGGCCUCGAGGGAGAUAGGGGCAUGCGGAACUGUAGGUGGAGCGGUGAAAUGCGUUGAUAUCUACAGGAACUCCGGUGGCGAAAGCGGCAUGCUGGAUCUCUUCUGACGCUGAGGCGCGAAAGCUAGGGGAGCAAACG
rnacentral:rRNA from 1 species